rnacentral:rRNA from 2 species
GAGCAUGCGCGUGCUAUACAUGCAGUCGAGCGGAUCUUCAUUAGCUUGCUUUUGAAGAUCAGCGGCGGACGGGUGAGUAACACGUGGGCAACCUGCCUGUAAGACUGGGAUAACUUCGGGAAACCGGAGCUAAUACCGGAUAAUCCUUUCCCUCACAUGAGGGAAAGCUGAAAGACGGUUUCGGCUGUCACUUACAGAUGGGCCCGCGGCGCAUUAGCUAGUUGGUGAGGUAACGGCUCACCAAGGCAACGAUGCGUAGCCGACCUGAGAGGGUGAUCGGCCACACUGGGACUGAGACACGGCCCAGACUCCUACGGGAGGCAGCAGUAGGGAAUCUUCCGCAAUGGACGAAAGUCUGACGGAGCAACGCCGCGUGAGCGAUGAAGGCCUUCGGGUCGUAAAGCUCUGUUGUCAGGGAAGAACAAGUACCGGAGUAACUGCCGGUACCUUGACGGUACCUGACCAGAAAGCCACGGCUAACUACGUGCCAGCAGCCGCGGUAAUACGUAGGUGGCAAGCGUUGUCCGGAAUUAUUGGGCGUAAAGCGCGCGCAGGCGGUUCCUUAAGUCUGAUGUGAAAGCCCCCGGCUCAACCGGGGAGGGUCAUUGGAAACUGGGGAACUUGAGUGCAGAAAAGGAGAGCGGAAUUCCACGUGUAGCGGGUGAAAUGCGUAAAGAUGUGGAGG